UACGUAGGGGGCAAGCGUUGUCCGGAUUUAUUGGGCGUAAAGAGCGUGUAGGCGGCUUUACAGGUCCGUUGUGAAAACUCGAGGCUCAACCUCGAGACGCCGGUGGAAACCGUAAAGCUAGAGUCCGGAAGAGGAGAGUGGAAUUCCUGGUGUAGCGGUGAAAUGCGUAGAGAUCAUGAGGAAGACCAGUGGCGAAGGCGGGUCUCUGGACAGUUCCUGACACUGAGACACGAAGGCCAGGGGAGCAAACGGG
rnacentral:rRNA from 1 species